rnacentral:rRNA from 1 species
CUGAAGAGUUUGAUCAUGGCUCAGAUUGAACGCUGGCGGCAGGCUUAACACAUGCAAGUCGAACGAACUCUUCGGAGUUAGUGGCAGACGGGUGAGUAACGCGUGGGAACGUGCCCUUCUCUAAGGAAUAGCCACUGGAAACGGUGAGUAAUACCUUAUACGCCCUUCGGGGGAAAGAUUUAUCGGAGAAGGAUCGGCCCGCGUUGGAUUAGGUAGUUGGUGGGGUAAUGGCCUACCAAGGCGACGAUCCAUAGCUGGUCUGAGAGGAUGAUCAGCCACACUGGGACUGAGACACGGACCAGACUCCUACGGGAGGCAGCAGUGGGGAAUCUUGGACAAUGGGGGCAACCCUGAUCCAGCCAUGCCGCGUGGGUGAAGAAGGCCUUAGGGUUGUAAAGCCCUUUCAGUCGUGACGAUGAUGACGGUAGCGACAGAAGAAGCCCCGGCUAACUCCGUGCCAGCAGCCGCGGUAAUACGGAGGGUGCAAGCGUU